GGAUUAUUCUUUAUAGCUUGCUAUGAUAGAAAUUAGUGGCAGACGGGUGAGUAAUGCAUAGGAAUCUACCUAGUAGUAUGGGAUAGCCACUAGAAAUGGUGGGUAAUACUGUAUAAUCCCUGCGGGGGAAAGAUUUAUCGCUAUUAGAUGAGCCUAUGUUAGAUUAGCUAGUUGGUAGGGUAAAGGCCUACCAAGGCAGUGAUCUAUAGCUGGUCUGAGAGGAUGAUCAGCCACACUGGAACUGAGAUACGGUCCAGACUCCUACGGGAGGCAGCAGUGGGGAAUAUUGGACAAUGGGCGAAAGCCUGAUCCAGCUAUGCCGCGUGAGUGAGGAAGGCCUUAGGGUUGUAAAACUCUUUCAGUGAGGAAGAUAAUGACGGUACCCACAGAAGAAGUCCCGGCAAACUCCGUGCCAGCAGCCGCGGUAAUACGGAGGGGGCAAGCGUUGUUCGGAAUUAUUGGGCGUAAAGGGCAUGUAGGCGGUUCGGUAAGUUAAAGGUGAAAUGCCAGGGCUUAACCCUGGAGCUGCUUUUAAUACUGC
rnacentral:rRNA from 1 species